UUUAUUACAUAUGAGAUUAUAUACAAUUUUAACGAAUGUUACCGAUUUAGUUUCAAUAAUCACUAAAUAACUAUAAAUAUUUUUUGUUUUGAAUAUUUAGUGGGUUAGCCAUGCAAAAGGUGUUAACUGUGUACUCACUUGCAUUAUUCACUCCGUAAAGCGUCUAAUAUCGUUAACACGGCAAUAAAGAACAGGCAAAUCAGCAAAUUGUGAUAAUCGCGAAAUGGCUGCCGGCGUUUUCGGGCGGCCGUGUGUACUGUAUUUUAUAACCGAAAAUGUUCACUAAUGUUUUUUACGUUGAUUUCCGGAGAAGUGAGAGCGUUCAGGUGAAACGCCAUUGCAUCCAUAGCGAAAGUAUUCUGCACAGUGCACAUAUGACGCGUGCAUAGUGCAUACACAACUUUAACUUUAGAGUUUGUACAAUAAUAUCACAGAUUAUGUUAUCUAAUCUAAUCUCACUCUUCACGGACUAGUACGUUGUACAUUGAUUGUCAUUUGAUAUGAUAUAUCCUAUAAAUUAUAUAGGUAUUAUCCGUACAAUAAUAUUUUACUGUGUUUGUCACUGAAUGUUUUUUUUGUUUAUUAUUUUGUUUGAUAAUAUAACAUUAAAUUGUAAUUUGAAAUAAAUCAAAUGUAUACAUUA